CCGUGGCAACAGGCACAAAUCCGCAGGCAUCUCCUGCAUCCUCUCCCUUCCCCCUUUUCCAACUGUUCCCAUCCCUCCCUGCCUGCUCCUUGCAGCAGGUGUAAACGGUGAGAUCUGGGGGAGUUGACCCACGUCCAGAGCUCACCCAGCCUCUGCAGACUCCUGGGGGUCCCUUGGCUAUGGCCAGCUAUGGUACCCCUGGGUCAUUGACCGGCUCUGGGGAUGUGCUGGCAUUAGCCUCUUCUUGUUUUGUUCUGUGCUUCUUAUACCAGGAGACCCUAGCGAACUUGGAGAGGCAGAUCUAUGCUUUUGAGGGCAGCUACUUAGAGGACACCCAGAUGUACGGCAACAUCAUCCGUGGCUGGGACCGCUACCUGACAAACCAGAAAAACUCAAACAGCAAAAACGACCGAAGGAACCGGAAAUUUAAAGAAGCUGAACGACUCUUCAGCAAAUCUUCGGUCACCUCAGCAGCAGCAGUCAGUGCAUUGGCCGGUGUUCAGGACCAGCUCAUUGAAAAGCGCGAGCCAGGUAGUGGGACAGAGAGUGAUACUUCUCCAGACUUUCACAAUCAGGAGAAUGAGCCCAACCAGGAGGAUACUGAAGAGCUGGAUGGGUCUGUGCAGGGAGUGAAACCCCAGAAAGCCGCUUCUUCCACCUCCUCGGGGAGUCAUCACAGCAGCCACAAAAAACGGAAGAACAAAAAUCGACACAGGUAUGUAUAUUAGGUUAGGCUGGGAAGUUUUUUUAAAAAACAGAAAAACAUGACAGAGGAUUGAUCUCAAGUUAAACAAAAAGCCCCGAGCUGACUACUAGACUCAUCGGUGCCGAAGCUUCCCGGAUCUAGGCCCCCACAUUGAGUCCACACUAAGAAAAACAUCAAUCGACUGAAUGAGCACAAUGGGCAGCUCUCCCACCGAGUGUCUGCACACGGGAGUAGUUCUUACUAAAGUGUGGGGGGGAAAUAGUCUUGUUUGGCUACAUUGGACCAUGUACUCUGUGUCAUUUUAAAAUCACCUGAAAUGCAGGAGGACUAAGCUGUGGUGUCACCAAUCUCUGGUUCCCGAGUGCGACAUUCUUCCCCCACAGCUGGCAACACUCACCCUGCAAUCAGCUGGUUUUGCUGCUGCCAUCACCAUUGUCUGUAAUAACCAUUGAGAGAUGUCGUUGUUUCAUUUUAUACUGGAAUGGGGGCGUGGCUCCGUGUGUCCCAUGCAGGUUGUAAAUCUGUUAGGUUAUUUUUUUAAUACUGAUAUUUAGUUUGUUUGUUUUUUUAAACCAAACUGUACAGUUGACAAAUUGGCUUUUGAUUUUUCUUCCUUAAAUCUGAUUAGGCUGUUCAUUUUGCAGAACGAUCCACUUGAAUUCUUACCUUAGUAGAGAAGAAAGUGGCUCACCCCUUUCCUUUAUCUUUGAUUUUAACAUUUCCCCUCCGGUUUGUUCGGGGCACUGAGCUACAGGGAGCGGUUAGAACUCAAAGCCGUCUUGCUCUUAAGGUUGGGUGGAUUCUCUUUUUAAUACAAACGUCUGUCAUUUGUAUAUAAAACAAUAAAAGUCACGUUUGUCUCUC